GGUCCUGCCUGCCCCGUGACACACGUUUAACGGCCGCGGUAUUUUGACCGUGCUAAGGUAGCGUAAUAACUUGUCUUUUAAAUGAAGACCUGUAUGAAUGGCACCACGAGGGUCAAGCUGUCUCCUUUUUCAAGUCAAUGAAACUGAUAUGUCCGUGCAGAAGCGGACUAAAAACCAUAAGACGAGAAGACCCUGUGGAGCUUAAAGACACCAGAGCAUACAUAACGAAUAAAAUUAUAGCACUGCCCACCUGUCUUUGGUUGGGGCGACCGCGGGGUACUAAAAAGCCCCCGCGCAGCAAGGAAUAAAAAGCUUAAAGGUUGAGUGACAGCCCGCCAUACAGAACAUCUGACUGCAAAGAUCCGGCAAUGCCGAUCAACGGAUAAAGUUACCCCAGGGAUAACAGCGCAAUCCUUUCCUAGAGUCCCUAUCGACGAAAGGGUUUACGACCUCGAUGUUGGAUCAGGACAUCCUAAUGGUGAAGCCGCUAUUAAGGGUUC
rnacentral:rRNA from 1 species